UACGGAGGGAGCUAGCGUUGCUCGGAAUUAUUGGGCGUAAAGCGCACGUAGGCGGUUCGUUAAGUCGGAUGUGAAAGCCCUCGGCUCAACUGAGGAAGUGCACCCGAAACUGGCGAGCUUGAGUACGAAAGAGGAUCGCGGAAUUCCCGGUGUAGAGGUGAAAUUCGUAGAUAUCGGGAGGAACACCGGUGGCGAAGGCGGCGAUCUGGGUCGAUACUGACGCUGAGGUGCGAAAGCGUGGGGGAGCAAACAGG
rnacentral:rRNA from 1 species